UUGGGCAUCCCAUUGGGUCUUUAUUAAGACAUAAUCAGUGCAAUACAAAUAAAUUUUUAAUUGGAUUGAGACUGAAAAUUAUAUUAUUAUAUUCUGUAAGAAUUUUGAUGUGAAUAUAACAAGUGAGACAGUGAAAUGUCGCUUGCUCUCAGGAUUUUAAUACAGGCACAUAUUUGGUCCGCUUCUUAUGGGUCUUCCUGGGGUUUGCCCGGGUUUGUUAAUGUGAGCCGUGCUGUUUCUGAAUGAACUUCGCUUUUAAUUUCAGCUACUGUAUGCUUUGUGGUGAACGUGCUUCGCCCUUAUUUUUUAAUGGUACGCAAUGGCUGACAGAGCCAGAGAACUUGUCCAAACACUUUUAGACAGUGACACAUUUAUUGAAACACUUGCAAAUGCAUGUGGUAGACCUGACACUACAAAUGCUCCACCACGAGACAGCCAUGCCCAAAAACGCCACCAAACCACUGAGGUAAACUCUUUGUUCAGUUGAGGCCAACAAAUUAGUUUUCCAGCACCGCUGUAUAAUCUGAGACGGUUUCCAAGGAACAGCAGACAAUCUUACAGUUCAUGAUGAUGCUGUAACCCUUGAGGAGCUCCUUAUUUUCACAAGUGGAUGUGACCAGAUUCCACCUCUUUUUUCCGGAGCCUUCUUUAGAGUUCAUCCCUGGUGCCAAAUUCCCGGUAGCAAACACCUGUGACAAUGUAAUUCGGAUUCCCCUGAAAAAUAGUUAUUCUGCUUUCAAAGCUGACAUGAAUUUUGGAAUUAAGAAUUCUCCAGGGUUUGGCAUGACUUAAACUUUACAUGCCCACACAAUAAACCCCCAAACUAAGGGGAUUUUGCGUUUU